AGAGUUGAUCAUGGCUCAGGACGAACGCUGGCGGCGUGCUAACACAUGCAAGUCGAACGGAGAUAUGUUCAUGAAGUUUUCGGACGGAAUGGAUAUWUCUUAGUGGCGGACGGGCGAGUAACGCGKGAGCAACYUGCCCUUUCAGAGGGGGRAUAACGGCUGGAAACGGCCGCUAAUACCGCAWWAACAUAUACCKGGGGCAUCCCGGGUAUAUCAAAGGARSCAAUCCGCURAAGGAUGGGCUCGCGUCCGAUUAGCUAGUUGGUGRAGGUAACGGCUCACCAAGGCGACGAUCGGUAGCCSRAMCUGAGAGGUUGAUCGSCSSCAUKGGGACUGAGACMCGGCCCAGACUCYUACGGGAGSCAGCCGKUGGGGGAUAUUCCCCAAUGGAGGAAACUYUGAUGCASSGACGCCGCGUGAGGGAAGAAGGCCUUCGGGUUGUAAACCUCAGUAARUCAGGGACGAAGGAAKGMCGGUCCYUGAAGAGUAAGCUCCGGCUAAYUACGUGCCAGCAGCCGCGGGUAAUACGUAGGGAGCGAGCGUUGUCCGGAAUUACUGGGUGUAAAGGGUGCGUAGGCGGGACUGCAAGUCAGGCGUGAAAUACCGGGGCUCAACUCCGGGGCUGCGCUUGAAACUGUAGUUCUUGAGUGAAGUAGAGGCAGGCGGAAUUCCUAGUGUAGCGGUGAAAUGCGUAGAUAUCGGGAGGAACACCAGUGGCGAAGGCGACUGCCUGGACGAUAACUGACGCUGAGGCACGAAAGCUAGGGGAGCAAACAGGAUUAGAUACCCUGGUAGUCCUAGCCGUWAACGUUGUACUAGGUGUAGGGGUUUCGAUACCUCUGUGCCGCAGUUAACGCAAUAAGUA
rnacentral:rRNA from 1 species